GGAACCAAACUAUGGUAUCUCUUUCCUCGUCUCAUAAUUGGAAUGGUUUCUUAGAUUCGUACACACUUGGCAUUAUUACUCCCAAUUUGAGGUCCUCUACUGUCUAGUCUCUCUGUUCCAGCAAGUUCGGCAUUUUGUUCGGCUUGAAGGAGUUGAAGCACAGUCUGGAGGUUUGCACCUGCUCAGCUUGCUCAGUACAAUUUGGUGGCAAAGAUCGACGACCCAUUUUCUGGUGAACGGUAAUGCGGUGAAAUGUUUUGAAUUUAGUGACGUUUCAGUUGGAAUCUCGGUCUUUUAUUGGGAAUUUCAUUUCUUUAGUUGGAAGUUAUUUGACUGUAGAUCAAGAGACCAUAUCUUUCAUUUUUGUAUCUGGGUUUGGGAGCUUGUUUUGAAUAGGGGAAGUAAAUUAGUUUUGAGCUUCGUAUUGGCUGGAGGGUUAAGAGGGAUUAGUUGUGAGAUGUUCAUACUAGUCUGACUAGUUUCUUAUUAUAGUGGCCAAUUUUGUUGGAAUAUCAGUAGUAAAGAGGAGUCAUUGGAGGAAGAACAUAUAGCGAAAGCUUGGAACUUUGGAAAAUAUACUUGUAAUUAAUGUUCAAUGAGAAAGGCAACGAUGUCAGGCAAUUAGGAUAAUGUGAUGUCUUAUGCCAUAGCAUUGUAAAGGAGGCAGAAUUUGAAGAAAGUUGGAUCAAUUUGUGUUUGUUUUGAUGGCGUCUAUUAGAAGAACAUUGUCUCCAGUGCCUCGAGCAGGAAUUCCGCUGAAUGGGGAAGUCUGUUCGGUUGCUUCUCCUUUGUCCAAGUCAUCAUCUUGUACUCAGAACUAUCCAUCAUCCAAUGGAUUCUUGUCAUCCUUGGCAGCUUCAUUAGAUUCUCAAGCUUUUGUUCUCGGUGUUUUUUCUCCAAGGACUUCUAGGCCUUUUGAGAAAUCAAAACCCAAGGGGCAAGUUUGGAGAAGGGCGCUUUCCCAUUUCUUCAUUUGUUUCAUGCUUGGUAUCUUUAUUGGGGCUACGCCUUUUGCAUCAAUGACUUUAUCAGCAAAUCUCAUGUCAAAGCAUCAAGACUUAUCCUUUGAAAUGGUAUCCUCAGUCGGGUUUCAUCAGUUACAUGGUAGUGUAUCCAGAAAUGUAACACCAUCAGGUAGUAGGAAAAUGCAGAAGAAUGUUACAAUGGAGUCACAAGUCAAGGAGUGGGGAACAACAGAAGGUAUCAUAGUUAAAAGUGAUAUGCAGAAUCAAUCACUCAUUCAAGAAGCAGAUUUGGAGUCCCGAAAGCUUCUGAUAAUCGUGACUCCAACUUAUGCUCAUCCGUUUCAAGCCCAUAAUCUGCAUCGUUUGGCACACGUGUUAAAAUUGGUCUCACCUCCAUUGUUAUGGAUUGUUGUGGAAAUGACCUCACAAUCUGCGCAAACAACUGACAUCUUGAGGAGAACUGGGAUCAUGUACAGACAUCUUGUGUGCGAGAAAAAUCUCACUGAUGUAAGAGACAGAAGUGUUCAUCAGAGAAACGUUGCACUUUUUCACAUUGAAACUCACCGUCUUGAUGGAAUCAUCUACUUUGCAGAUGAGGACAACAUCUACUCAGAAGAUCUUUUUAAGCAAAUGAGGCAGAUUAGGCGGUUUGGAACAUGGUCAGUUGCCAAAAUAAUAAGUAACAAAAUGCAAGCUGCUAUAGAGGGCCCGGUUUGUAAUGGAACUCAAGUAAUCGGAUGGCAUACAUUUGAAUCAAGUAGAAGAUUGCAGAGAUUCUAUGCUCAAAUAUCAGGAUUUGCCUUCAAUAGCACUAUACUCUGGGAUCCCAAAAGGUGGCAUCGACCGACUCUUGAACCUAUCAGACAGCUUGACACAGGAAAUGAUGGUUUCCAGGUGAGCACUUUCAUUGAACAGAUUGUGGAAGAUGAAAGUCAAAUGGAAGGUUUGCCGCAAGAUUGCUCAAGGAUCAUGGUUAUCAUGAAUCGUCUAAUGCCUUAUAUCCUCACAAGUGGUUCAUGAAGAAUAAUCUAGAUGUCAUUGCUUCACUUGCGUGAAUUCUUGAUGUGAAUGCAGUCCAUAUGAAUGGCAAGUAAAUGCCUUCUUAAGAAACAUAAACGAGAAUAUGAGACGGUUAAUGUCUUCAUUCUUUCAG